UCCCCAGAAACCACAUGAUUUAAUAGCUCAGAUCCAUCUCUAACCCAUCCCCUCCUCUCUGUAAACAGCCCCACACUGGCAGAGAUCAUUCCAAGCGAUGAGACGAAGCGAGCUGCCCCAGGGAAUGUUCGAAACCACAGCUUGUUAGGAAUGCCCAAUACAGUGAACACCUCUGUGAAAUAUUUCCCUCUCUCACCAAGCAUUUGCAGAGAACAAACAGACAAUACAUAAUUUUGGAGCAGAUUUAUUUUUUUCCAUGAUCUUUGCUCUCUUUUAACAAGCAACCUGUUGUGUAUGUUAGCUUAAAAUAAAAUCAAAUCCUGACAAUGAUUAUCAAAAUCUAGAACCCCAAGUAUAAAAGCUAUCUCUCAGUAAGCAGUAUUCUGGGAUUUCAAAUACAAGGUCCAUAGAUCCUCAAGGGAUCCUUGCAUGGAAUUCAGUGGUCUGUGGACCCUCUAAAAUUGUAUACAAACUUUUGUGGCUAUAUGAAUAUCCACACAGUCUUUGAAAUUCAAAAUUAGGUACCACAUUUUAAUACCUUAUCAAAAUUUUUGAUACCAAAACCUAAUUUACAACAUAUUAAAUUUUCUCUUGUGGGGGUGCUGUUAUCAAGACACAAUACCCUAGCUAAAUAAACAUUUAGUUUGGUUAACCACACAGAGGACAUAAUAAAUUAAUUUCCCAAUUGCUAUUCCAUGCUGUUGACAAAAUUAUCAGUUUGGUCUUUAACUCUCUCUCUCUCUCUCUAUCAGUUAGCCUUGUGCAAAACACUAUUUUGCAAAGCAGAUAUUUUUAACCACACUUUGCAGAUGUGAAACCUGAGACUCAGAGAGGUAGUAAGUUAUUGGGGCCCUCCGCUGGUAAAUAGAGGGACCAAGAUCCUAAAACCAGCCUAUUGGGUCCUGAAGCCUGUGUCUCUUCAGUGAGGCAAACCACUAUCUGUUGAAAUUUAUAAUUUGUUUCCUGAAAUGAAGAAUUUCAGUCCAAGAUUUUCCUUUAGUGGUGGGAUGGUUAAACAAGUAUAUUUCACACCAGCAAUUACAUUCGUGAAAUAUUUUUAAAUAUUGGUGGUUCUGACAUGGUAAAAGUCGUUAUAAUGUAUUUUUUCUAAUUUUAGCUCUGAACAAUCAAUUAAUGGCAGCCUAAAAUGCGGCUGUAACCCAGUUUAGAACUUUCCAAGAAUCCUCCCAUUGGAGCCAGAUGAAGCAGCCUAAUGUAGCAAAUGAGAACUUCUGAGUCCAGAGCGGGGCAAGCUCCAAUCUGCCAAUAGCCUUGCCAAGAGAGCUGGAGGAAGUGGGGGAGUCACGUAACCGCCUACCUCCUCUUUCCCAAAACAGGAGCCACAUACCAACCUCUCAGCAGGGUGGGUUGGGGCCACAAGACUUAGGGCCUACCUCUCCUCGGUGGCCAAUGACAUUUAAAGAAAACAGUUGACUGCAUCUGUGAAGAUGUCAUAACGUGGAGCUUCCCUGGGAGAAAAUAAUUUGGGAAGGGAGGGAGACAUUACUGAUAUCUUUAAAACACAGAGUGUUCAAAAUGAGAGAACCACGUGCUUCUCUCCAUACCACUGGGGUGGUUUUGGUGCCCGUCUUUGGUGUGCAUUGCGGGUCUUUGUGGGGCCUGUGGUAACAACUCAUGAUUCAUCAACUACAAGUUACCAUCACAAUUUCCAAGUCAUUGGGAAGUAUUUCAUCCCCCAGAGCGGCAAUUUUCUCCAUCAGCAAGAGAAUCAAAAGGAAGUGGGAACAUCUGGCUCGAUAUGAAAGCCUGAGAGUGCCCCGACAUACACAGGCUACGGAGAAGUCGGCCCCUUGCAGAUAUUGGAAAGCAAAGCUCCGUCUACCUUCGCCAGCCACAGUUUCCAGCAUCGCUUCCAAAAAUCAAUCUUGCAUAUUUGCUGGCGGACCCACUUCUAAGUGAUUGGAUUCUAGCACACUCCAAUCAAGCAUCAGCUUUGGUUCUUAUGACGCAGUCACUAACAUCACACACGACCAAAACAGCAGGGCGCUCUCUCAAGUCUCCUCUUACUGUGCCAUCGUGGGGAACAGUCUCAUUUAACAGAGGGGCUUAAAAACAAUAAGAUACUGCAGCAAUCUGAGGACUGAGGGGCUUCAGGAUGACUUUAAGAAGAGACUUCUGCAGAGCUCAGAUGCUCGAUACGCAAAGGAAAUCUGUCGGAGCGGCGUCCAGCUAGCUCCGUGCGUGCACAGACACUUGAGCAUUAUUUUCCUGGCACUCAGCAAUUCAUUCCCCAGACCUGAGAACAUCAUCUAAAUCUUAAUUGACGCCAUAGCUACACUUGACUGGGAGAGGAAGACGAGUCCAGGCUCCAUAUAGCAUGAUAUGGAGCUGGAGAGGAGGGGAGAGGAGAACAGAAGGCAAGGUGGGAAAGGACACCUGGCAGAGACAACAUCUGGAUCCUGAACCUGGAGGAGAAAUCCACUUAUAUCUCACUUUAGAUUUGCCAGCUGCUUUUAUUUUUAUUUGGACUUACAGAAAGGUUGAGAAGAAAAUACGGGAGUGAACUGUAGCAAUAAACGGUUUGUGGGUAAUUUUGGUACUUUAAUGUGGCUUCUAAAAUGUGUACUACAUGACUUAGGAAGGAAUAUUUAAGGAGCCCAGCUGCACUAACGUGGGUUGCUAUUGUGUUAUUACUAAAAUAGCUGAGAGAGACUCUCUGUGCAGUCACCCUAAGUGAGUUAUUUUGAGUGAGUUGCUAUGGUGGUAUGACCUGCAUGUAUGACUAAACAUACAAAAAAGCCAAAAGGCCAGAAAUGAAGUGUCAGCUAUGAAGAUGCUAGUGAUAAAAGCCUACCCCAAAGCAAUGACAGAUACUUUGAAAAUACUUUGAGGGAAUAAAGCACUCUUAGGGAACACAGGGUUUGAAGUAGGACUGUGUUGUUAUUAUUGAGUUAUUUUCCAAUAAUUUUCGAGAGUCUGCCACAGCUUUGAGGCCAGUCUUUUAUAUCAUUGCCCAGGCAGGGGCUCCAUAGCUCAGGGGUUAGAGCACUGCUCUUGUAGUAUCAUUGCCCUACACAAGUGAAUUUGGGUAAAAAGGAAAACAGAAGGAACUUUAACAGGCAAGUAUGGAGACUGAAGUUCCACAGUAGCCCCUAGCACCAAAUAAAAGUACAACAGGUCUCAAUCAUCACUUCCAGGCAUUGAGAGAAGAAGUGCGAUUUUUGAGUCUUGACUUUUGGAAUCUGCAAGAGUAAGUAAAUGGCUCUCUGUGUCUGUCUGGUGCCUAGGGCCAGCUCUCUCCUCUGACACUGUCCUCAUUAGCAUGCUAGGUGAGCAUGACAACUCCGCUAGUCAGAUAUCACUACAUCCUCAACUUCACAGAGGUGGUCUCUCAUCUACCAUAUUUUCUGAACACCAAUUCACAGUGCAGUACUGGGCAAGCUACAUAAAAAUUUCCUGCGAAGUUUGUAACAUUUUUUUAAAGCUAAAAAUUAGAGAUUCUGAUUCUGGCCUGAACCUUGGGAAUGUGUAUUUUUUAAAAGUUUCCCGAGUGAUUUUCAUGGGGAAUUAGUUUAAAAAACACUGGUAUAGACUUUCCACUUUGGAAUUUAAUCAGGUUGUGUUUUUUUAAAUUUCACCUAUUGCUGUGUUGGGGCUACUUACCUAGAUGUGAGGGCUAUAUGACCCCACCCCUAUCAACAGCACUCCAAAUACUGACCAAAUGAAUGAAUGAAUGAAUGAAUGAGGUUGCAUUCGGAGUCAGAGGACCAAAAGGAAGAAUGUCUUCUUCAUGGUAUGGUCCCCACAUUACUUGGAAAAGAAUUAUAAAUCCCUCUUUCUAAAGAAAGAAAAAAAGAGAAAGGCAGGCAGGCAGGCAAAAAGGAGUGAAGGAAGGAAAGAAGAAAGGAAGGGAGGGAGGGAGGGAAGAGAGAGAGAGGCAGGAGGGAAAGGAAAGAGGGAGGAAUUUCAUAAAUAUUUACAUAAAAUCAUCUUUGUUCCUGGGAGCUGAGCCAUAAAUCUCUGAAGAGACCAUUGGAUCAGUAAGGCCUGGGAGCUGUGAGUACAGUGAUAGCUGUUAGCUCUGGCCCACUCUUGAGUGAGCUGAACGUUUGAGCUAUGAGGGCAUCCUUCCCCCACAAAAUUUCCCCAGUGAGGAGCUCGUGCACCCCAUCUGUGCAUCAGCCCCACUGACAAACUUUCCUGUCCGCCAUCCCUGGUCCAUAUGGCUCAACUGGGACUCCUCUCCUGGCGGUCACCAUAGUCCCCCCUUAAAAGUUUGAAGGUAGCUCAGAUUCCAUCUAUCAGGGUGAAAACCCUGUGUCUUGCUCAGGAAUAUUCUUCCUCGUCAGCUGUAAGAAAAGAAACAAAAAUUAAUAUUUACGUCCACAUGCUGUUUCUUUCCAUCCACCCCACCCUGAGUCACCUUUGGACUUGACC
rnacentral:lncRNA from 1 species